GGCGGCAGGCCUAACACAUGCAAGUCGAGCGCGUGUAGCAAUACACGAGCGGCAGACGGGAGAGUAACACGUGGGAACGUACCCUUCGGUUCGGAAUAACCCAGGGAAACUUGGACUAAUACCGGAUACGUCCGAAAGGAGAAAGAUUUAUCGCCGAAGGAUCGGCCCGCGGCUGAUUAGCUAGUUGGUGAGGUAACGGCUCACCAAGGCGACGAUCGGUAGCUGGUCUGAGAGGAUGAUCAGCCUCACUGGGACUGAGACACGGCCCAGACUCCUACGGGAGGCAGCAGUGGGGAAUAUUGGACAAUGGGCGCAAGCCUGAUCCAGCCAUGCCGCGUGGGUGAUGAAGGCCCUAGGGUUGUAAAGCCCUUUCGGCGGGGAAGAUAAUGACGGUACCCGCAGAAGAAGCCCCGGCUAACUUCGUGCCAGCAGCCGCGGUAAUACGAAGGGGGCUAGCGUUGCUCGGAAUCACUGGGCGUAAAGCGCACGUAGGCGGAUCGUCAAGUCGGAGGUGAAAUCCUGGAGCUCAACUCCAGAACUGCCUUCGAUACUGGCGAUCUUGGAGU
rnacentral:rRNA from 1 species